rnacentral:tRNA from 1 species
GAGAAUUUAAAAAUCGGGCUGCUAACUUGAUUUUAGCAUAAUUUGUUAGUUCUUG